rnacentral:lncRNA from 1 species
UAGGGUUAGCACUCUUGAUUGUUUUGUGAAAUUAGAAAAAUAUCUACAAUUAAAAUUUUAGAAGUGUCUAGAUGGUUGAGUAUGCUAAGUGCAUGCUAAAACUUGUAUUAAUUUAAGGGUAUAGGUAGAGGAUAUUUGAUGGUUAGUAUAAAGAGGUAUCAAAAGUUGGUAGAUUGGGGUUGUUUAGGAUUUUUGCGAUAUCUUAAGAUCUACUAGCUAGAAUAAGGUGAAUUUUGGCAUAAUAAGUCGAAGACUUAAAGAUGGAGCUACACAUAAACUUUGAAUGAGAAUUAAUAGUUGGAGAAGAAGAAAUUGUAAUUUAAAAUUCAUCAUCAACUUUCUAGGCAGUGGUCACAGGACGUCAGUGUGGAUUUACGGCAUUUUCUUGCAAUCUAUAAGUUGGGUUGGAUUGAAACUUCUUGAGCAUUUAGAAGACUUGCAAAGACACUAGUGGUAGAAGUUUUACAACAAUUAGACAAUUAGAUAGAAAAUUACAGCUUGCCAAAGCUUGCUGUCUAGGAUUAGGAUUUAAAAAUUAAAAAAUUAAAAAUUAAAAAUUAAAAAAAAGAAGAAAGAAUAAUAUUA